rnacentral:rRNA from 1 species
AUUGAACGCUGGCGGCAGGCCUAACACAUGCAAGUCGAACGAGUGGCGUACGUGAGAGCAAUGUCUCGGAAUCUGCCUGAGGGAUGGGGAUAAGUAACGGAAACGGUAGCCAAUACCGCACACCUUCGGAUGUGUCCAGGUGGGUUGAGCUUGUUGGGGGGGUAACGGCUCACCAAGGCGACGAUCCCUAGCUGGUCGGAGAGGAGGAUCAGCCACACUGGAACUGAGACACGGUCCAGACUCCUACGGGAGGCAGCAGUGGGGAAUAUUGGACAAUGGGCGCAAGCCUGAUGCAGCCAUGCCGCGUGUAUGAAGAAGGCCUUCGGAUUGUAAAGUACUUUAAGCGGGGAGGCGUUACCAGCAGAAGAAGCACCGGCUAACUCCGUGCCAGCCGCCGCGGUAAUUC